CUUGCUUCUAGAGGCGUUGCAGAUAUGGCUGCUGUGUCACAUGUGCGUCAGUAGCUGGCAGAGAGGAGAGAGGCCAUGUCUAUGCUCAGUGUUCUGACCUGAGAACAUCUGAAUGAUCAGUGGCCUAACAUU